rnacentral:rRNA from 1 species
CUCCGUGCUAACCUGAAAUGGCGGGUUAAAGGUCUCGCUGUUCUGGAAAGAUCCCGCAAACGUCAAGCCUCCGGGAUUCGCUACCUCCGCGAGGGCGAUGCCAACACCAAAAUUUUCCAUCUACGAGUUAAUGCGAGGAAGCGCAAAAAUCACAUCUUGAGACUCAAGCAUAACACUGGCUGGGCUGUGACUCACGAUGAUAAAGCCGGGCUGAUCUUCGACCACUUCUCCCGCGUUCUAGGUCGGCCUCCUCCUAGUACGCUAGACUUCAACUGGGAUGCCCUGAACCUCACCACCCACCCUUUGGAGGAUCUGGGCCUGCCUUUCUAUGAGGAUGAGAUAAAGGAGGCUAUUGAUGACAUGCCCGCGGACAAGGCUCCGGGCCCUGACGGUUUUACUAUCGCCUUCUUUCGCUCUUGCUGGGAUAUAAUCAAGGAUGACCUUAUGUCCGUCAUCAAUGCCUUUUCCGAGCUUUCUGCGUCCAAUUUCCACAUCAUCAACACAGCCAAUGUCGUGCUUCUGCCUAAAAAGGACGGUGCGGAGUCCAUAUCGGAUUUCAGGCCCAUCAGUCUCAUCCAUGUGGUUCCGAAGAUCAUCGCCAAAGCUAUGGCAUGA